CGGGUGAGUAAUAUGUAGGAAUCUACCUAGAGGUGGGGGAUAACCUGGGGAAACCCAAGCUAAUACCACAUAAGCCCUACGGGGGAAAGCAGGGGACCGCAAGGCCUUGCGCCUUAUGAUGAGCCUACAUCGGAUUAGCUAGUUGGUGGGGUAAAGGCCUACCAAGGCGACGAUCCGUAGCUGGUCUGAGAGGAUGACCAGCCACACUGGGACUGAGACACGGCCCAGACUCC
rnacentral:rRNA from 1 species